UACGAAGGGGGCUAGCGUUGCUCGGAAUUACUGGGCGUAAAGGGCGCGUAGGCGGAUACUUAAGUCGGGGGUGAAAGCCCAGGGCUCAACCCUGGAACAGCCUUCGAUACUGGGUAUCUUGAGUACGGGAGAGGUGUGUGGAACUCCGAGUGUAGAGGUGAAAUUCGUAGAUAUUCGGAAGAACACCAGUGGCGAAGGCGACACACUGGCCCGUUACUGACGCUGAGGCGCGAAAGCGUGGGGAGCAAACAGG
rnacentral:rRNA from 2 species